rnacentral:lncRNA from 1 species
AUUGAAAGCAUAUAAUUUUUAAAAAAAAGUUCUGAUGACUAGAAUACGGUUUUCAAAAUGAAGUGAGCACUUUUGGUGGUGGUAGCAGCAACUUCGGUCAGUGGGAUGAGAGAAAUGUCUGGAGCGUUCUUCUCUAUGACACAGAAGUCAGAGUCAUAUGAAAGCAAAGACGUUUUAACCGAGGACCGGAGGGGCACUUGUAGGUUUUCUCUCUCCUCUGUCCCAUCCGAAUUGAUACUACUAAAGGGCAGGAAUUUGAACUAGUUUACUUGGGACUUGGGGUGCCCUGAGGAUAGGACUCUUUUUAUUUCCUAAAGUCAAAUUUUCAAAACAAAGUACAUGUCUCAGACAGUGUAGGGCUUUAGCUAAGAAUAGUUAGGUACUAAAAUGGUCACGAAGAACAGGAAACAGAUGCAGGUGAGCGUGUAGGGUUUUGAAAUUUGCUACUUUUCAGUGAGGAAACCAUUCCCAGCAGAGGUGAUGAGGUGAUGAUACUCCUAUGUCCUGAAUUCGUGUUGUGCUGAAGUGUUCUGUAUGGUGUCGUGUUAUGAUAAGCAAUUAUGAAGCCCAAAUAGGAAAAGCAGACAGUAUAGUUGUAUAUUGUAUAUUAUAUUAAACACGGUACAAGUCCAAUAUCCUUGCAGCCUUAUUUUAGUGUAAUUUAUUAUAAGAUUCUGAAAAGCUAACAAAUGUGGGUUAAAUGCUGAGGACUUCUAACAAAAAGAUAAUGUGUACAUAAAUGUUUUAACACAAGGCGAUUCUGGAGUUUAAUUAUCAUUACCAUGUGAAACCCAAGAUGAAGAAGCACUUUUUUUUAAAGGUGUAUUAGAAUGGUUAUUUCUUAAUCUACUAAAAUUGUUUCCCAUGUCUUGUUAUUGAGGUAGACUUGCUACGAUAACACCGAUCAAGGUUUCCAUGGCAUUUUUUUAUGGCAGAGCAUCUUCAGCAGCAGGGGAAUCUUUGUAAGAGCUCUAAUUUAAGCAUACUUUAAAAUUAAAUGAACAAAAUAAAUAUUAAUGCUGGGUGACUAAAGAUGGAGAAGGCUUAGCAGCAAGUUAAGGUAGUGUCAUUAAAAGACGAUGACUCUGGAUAAAAUAACCAUUUAAAAACAAAUUUGAUAGGGCGUUCGAAUCAGCUCUUAUCAGCCACAGAGAAAUUCAUUUCUUGUUGAGCAAAAGAUUUUUAAGCAGUUGACUUCAUCCUUCUCCAGUAUAUCCAUACACUUGGACUGCACUAGAAUAGAAUUAUGUAUUGGUAUCUUGUGUUUAAGACGUAUUAGAUGCUAUACAGGGCCUUGAGGCUUACAGAGCAUUCGUGGCCUCUGCUAAGAGGAAAUUCUCAGCCACCGCCAACAGUUCUCCCUGCCUCUGUUUGCACAGUUUCUGUCUGCUUUUUCCUUGUUUUUUAGCAGCUGCCUUCUUUCUACUCUGCCGCUCCU